rnacentral:tRNA from 1 species
GGGCGCAUAGCUCAGCUGGUUAGAGCGCUUGCUUCACACGCAAGAGGUCGGCGGUUCGAGUCCGUUUGCGCCCACCA